UGUGUCCCCAUUCCAGACCACGAUAUUUCUUGUCCGUUUUUCAUUGACCAGGGUGGUCUAGAAUUCUUUAAACCGUGAUGGAUGAUUCUAUUGGUUUCACUGAUCGAAGAAAUUAGCUGAUCCGGGAGGGAGGUGUUGAUUUUGUGCUAUCCUACCAAGUUUCACAGAAAAUUAUGGCGAAGUUGUGGAAUUGAUUCCAGUGGAUGCAUACAUGGAGCUGUCUUCAUGAUGCUAUUGGAGCUUUUAGUAGCUUGCGACAUCUUUCAAAAAUGUUGAAGCGAUGGCUGUCGUUAGUUUCCAAGUGUGUCCUCACUCCGAGCAAAAUUUCAGGAUUCAAAAGAUCCAAAUCAUUUAGUACUACUAGCUCCCACCAAGCUCAAAAAGCUAUUAUUGAGGUAUCUCUGGAAUAUCGAGAAGAUUUUUCAAGGCUUCAGGUGCUGAAUCAGGCGAGUUAGAAAUUAUUAAGUUAAUAUCCAAAAUCCAUUCCUUGGGCUUUGAGAACACAGGCUUGCGUUGGAAGUAAUGGCUACUCUUUACAAAUUUAUUUGAUGAGCAUUUUUUGUGCUAUGAAUUAUGAUUGUGAUGUUUUUGAUGCGUCAAAAAUUGUCUUUUGAUUUGAUUACUCAUCUUGUCAUUUAUUUCUUAGAAAAUCUUGAUCAUAUUCUCAUUUCAUUCAGAUCUACUUUUAAAAAU